CCUGCUCCUCCACGGCAGCGCCCCAGCGGUCAUCCACUACCUGGACGACUUUCUCCUCAUAGAACCUCCGCUAUGUCAGCCAUCCGGGCUGCACUCCCUCCUGGAGCUCUUUGCCGCCCUUUCCAUCCCAAUAUCGCAGGGGAAGACCUCGGGGCCGGUCACUUCCAUCACCUUUCUGGGCAUUGUCCUGGACUCCGACAGGAUGGAGGCCAGGCUUCCAGAGGCAAAGCUGUCCCAAAUCCGGGAAGUCGUGGCAGGGGCCAUCACCUCUUCCCAGGUGACCAAGGUCGAGCUACAGUCCAUCCUGGGUCGGCUGAACUUUGCCUUGAGGGUGAUGCCCCAGGGCAGGGCCUUCAUU